rnacentral:rRNA from 1 species
GUGCCAGCAGCCGCGGUAAUACGUAGGUGGCAAGCGUUGUCCGGAAUUAUUGGGCGUAAAGCGCGCGCAGGCGGUCUUUUAAGUCUGAUGUGAAAGCCCACGGCUCAACCGUGGAGGGUCAUUGGAAACUGGAAGACUUGAGUGCAGAAGAGGAGAGUGGAAUUCCACGUGUAGCGGUGAAAUGCGUAGAUAUGUGGAGGAACACCAGUGGCGAAGGCGACUCUCUGGGAUGUAACUGACGCUGAGGCGCGAAAGCGUGGGGAGCAAACAGGAUUAGAUACCCCGGUAGUCC